GCGGUUUUCCCAAAUGUUUAUUGCUUGUUUCAGGACCGCGAGACAGAAGUUUGUGGAAAGAUACUUAUCUCUACCGUUAUCAUUCAGAACAGGAGUAGGGGGAAAAUGAUAAAAUAACUACUUCACCCUGCCUGAAUCGUAGCUUUGACUGGUGGGAUCAACAGGCCUGGAGCUUCCUUUUGCUUGAUGGUGUGAAUGCAUAGUAACCUGGGCAGCAUACAGGUAAAUCUCCCUCAUUUAUGACCUUAUGCGUCCUGUAAGAGAUACCAGAGACUAUUUCCAUAUUCAGAGAUCGUAUUUAGAGACAUCAUAACCAUCAUAAUGAGGUUGUUGGCUGCAGUAAUUACACUAUUUACAGGUGAGUA